rnacentral:rRNA from 1 species
UACGUAGGGGGCAGCGUUGUCCGGAAUCAUUGGGCGUAAAGCGCGUGUAGGCGGUCCGGUAAGUCCGCUGUGAAAGUCGGGGGCUCAACCCUGGGAUGCCGGUGGAUACUGUCGGGCUCGAGUCCGGAAGAGGAGUGUGGAAUUCCUGGUGUAGCGGUGGAAUGCGCAGAUAUCAGGAGGAACACCGGUGGCGAAGGCGGGUCUCUGGGCAGUAACUGACGCUGAGGAGCGAAAGCGUGGGGAGCGAACAGG